UAAUUGAAACUGUAAUACUAGAAUCAUUCUUUGAUACAAGAUAAACUUCACAUAGCACAUUUUACUGUCAGCAGGUUUAAGUGAAAAUUAUACAUUUUCCUUGUUUAUUAUGGACCAAAUUCAGAUUUCUUGAAUAUUAUUGGAAAGUUAUUUCCAAACAUACUUUCUUUGUAAACUUUCUUGAUCUCUGCCAGUUCUUCCUUGUUUCUGGAGCAGACAAUCUCGAUGAGGGUCUCCUCAUCUGUUCCCAGUCCCUAGAAACACAAAUACCAGCAGCUUUUGAAAAACAAUGGAAAGUCUUAAAUCUGCCGAGGGAGGUCCUGCUUUUACUGCAACUCGCUCACGGGAAGCUCGGGAGUCGGAGCAGCUGGGAAAUCCUGCAGCUCUCCACACAAACAGAAAAGUCAGAACUUGGACGAUCGGCCUCGCAGGUUCAAUUCCCUGCAGUGGGUUUAGUGGCAUCUGCAGAUGAAUUCCUUCAACUUUAGUCAGUUUCCAAUCUGACCAGAAAACAUGCUGUAAUAGUUUGAACAGCUCAUGCAUGGACAGAAGCCAGCCAGUAACCUGAUAUCUGAGCUGGUUGUCCUGCAGAGAGAAACGCUGUAGAGCGUGAUGCCAAAGCAACACCAGCACAUAAAAACACGAGUCUAAAAGUUCCUAUAAAGAAAUGUUUGUCGGGAUUGUUCAUCCUCUGGAGAGCAGGGACAUGUUAAUGACUCUUUGGCAUCAGAUCUCAGUCCCCUUUCCAGACAGGAGGCAGGUGAACUGGACGUGCUCACCUUUAGUUUUGAUGGCUGUCUCGAUCCGGGCAGCAUCUUUGUCUGGGUCGAAGUCUCGUACUGGCACCACGGUGGGGAAUUUAGGCUCCGCUUCCUACAGAGGACAAAGACAGACACGUUACCUUUCAGUCUACUGCUGUUCUCAUGUAUGGUGGCCCCUGUGGGGGCAUAAAAACUACAGUUUGAGAUGAAGAAACCUGCAAAUAUGAAAACCAAAAGAUAACGAGUGCGACGCUCCGUCACCUCUCUGUGAUCCUCCCUGAACAUGAUACCCUGAUUACAGGCAGAGGGCAGCGAGGGUCUGCAGACAAGACUUUACCCAGCCACACCCAUCAACCAGCCGGCUGUUAUCACUUCUAAAGUCUCCUGAAGAAGCAGCAGCAGUGAGGCAGCGAGCAGCAGCAGCUCCGUUAUGAUCCAGGCUGGGACAGGGUGUGGUGUUUAUACACCAGCUGACUCACACACACUCCUCUCUGCCCAAUCAGACGGCCCGGAUGACUCAGUGGUCGAGACUUUUACACUUACAGACUGAACACAUUGACAUAAAUUCCUCACCGAGGCUCAGAUCGCCUCGCCUGUUUCCUGCCUUAUUCCAAGGUCAGCAGACAGUAGUGGUUUCUGAUUGGUUGGCUGUUGGCAGGUGUCCAGUAAAGUAGUAAACGUGGACAUCUAAAAAUCAGAGCUCGAGGUAUAAUAAACUCUGGGUAUCCAUAGCA